rnacentral:tRNA from 1 species
UGUCCUGGCUGGCCAAGCAGGACAAGGCCGCCGGGCUCCAGGCCUGGCGCACGGCCCUGGCCGGCUUCGAGGAGCCGACCCGGGUGGC